rnacentral:tRNA from 1 species
GGGGAUUUAGCUCAGUGGUAGAGCGCUUGCCUAGCAAACGCAAGGGCCUGGGUUCGGUCCCCAGCUCCG